UGGUUGUCCAAUACACUACCAUGGCAUUCACGGGCUAUCGGGGGAUUAGGGUUCGAUUCCGGAGAGGGAGCCUGAUAAACGGCUACCACUUCUACGGAAGGCAGCAGGCGCGAAAAUUAUCCAAUCCUGAUUCAGGGAGGUAGUGAAAGAAAUAAUGAACUAGGAUCUAUCCUGGGAUCACAAUGGGCUUGAUUUGCAGACACUUAGCGAGGAACAAUUGGAGGGCAAGUCUGGUGCCAGCAGCCGCGGUAAUUCCAGCUCCAAUAGAGUAUAUAAACGUUCCUGCAGUUAUUCGAUGCUCGUAGUUGGAUUUCUGAGGUUGAGACGGUAGGGUGGCUAUGGCCAUCGCCCGACUCUUUCCUCAUCCACCUGUUUGCGAAGUCCGGGAUUGAUUUCUCGGCUUCGGGCGCAGUAUCUUACCAUUUCAAUAUUCGUAGUCUUCAUCGAUUAUGUUGUUUCUUUGAGCAAAUUAUAGUGUUUCAGGCAGGCGUGCGCCGGAAUACAUUAGCAUGGUAUAAACGAAUUGGACCGUGUGCCCGUAACUGGGCUUCUCCUUAUUGUUGGUUUGAAGGACACGGAGAUGGUUAAUAGGGACAGCGUUUAUUUCACAAGGAGGCAUUAGUAUUUAAUUUCCAGAGGUGAAAUUCUUUGAAAUAUUAAAGACUAACUUAUGCGAAAGCAUCGUUUGCCAAUGAUGUUUUCAUUAAUCAUUGAACGAAAGUUAGGGGAUCAAAGACGAUCAGA
rnacentral:rRNA from 1 species